GUAUUCCAUGCACAAUAUCUCUCCUUUGGACAUCCAAAACUAAUCCUCUCUCUUUUUUAACCAUCCCAUAUUGCUGGUUUAAAUAGGCCAAGAUAGAGUUUUAAUUUAAUUAGGAGAUAAGAGUCCAAAGGGCCUUGGACUCUAUCCUUUUUUGUGCCACCCAAACACUAAGGAUUUUUGCCCAGAUUUCUCACGAUAAUUACGGGAGAAAAUCCCUUCUUUCUUACAUGCACAAAAGGGAGGAAAGUGGCAUCAGAAAAUUUGGUAGGGCAUGGAUCUUUUGGAUGCAAAAAUACAAAGUGGCGUGGAGUCCUUUUGGCAAUGGAAUCAAGGUACUUCAAGAACAUGCGGCUCUUGUUUAAUGUGACUGUUUUAAGUCAAAUAAAAUAUCAAUUAAUUCUAAUCAUAUUAGGAUCAGAUUAGACUCAAAUAGAUGAAAAUUUAAAUCUAAUUUAAAGCCCAAUCUAUUUAGAUUAGAUAUCUCCUAAUUGGAGGAGUCCUAGUCUAAUUGGACUCUUUCUUGAUGCUUAAGUCAAACUCAAUUUUUAAUCCUAAUCCAAUUAAGAUUUGGUGCACCUAUGAAAAUGAGGAUUUUUAAUCCAAAUA
rnacentral:lncRNA from 1 species